ensembl:lncRNA
GUUGUUUCUCUUCAAGCUCAGCGGUUCUUUAAAUAGUACCACGUCAGAUCCUUUAGAACAACAUCCGCACUGAUAUCCUGGAGGUAAUACCGCGUGUUUUCCUUGACUCAAAAGCUUUAUUUUUGCUCACCGAACCCCCUGAUAAAACAGUUUCCUGUGCGAAAGUAAAACUUGGCUGACGGCGAUUAGCACGACAGAAAGAGCGUGGAGAAAAAAAAAAAGCAGCUGCCUGUUUUAGUGUCUCAAGCCCCCCCAGGUCUAUAAUAGACGCCUCUGUCUGGUCUCUGGACCGGAGCCAGGAACCCAGCAGACCAGAGGUCUCUCUUCAGCAGAUGCCUAAGCAGAAGAUCCCAGGAUGAGGUGGCAGCGGAGCAGUACAGUCACUCGAAUGGUGCCACCAUAAAUAACCGCUUCCAUUGUGAGUAGGGCUGUGCGGGGCCGGCUGACCAGCCUGUUGGGAUGAAGAAGUAGAAGAGGAAGUUGAAGAGGGUAAAGAGGACUCAUCAUAAUCCAGCCCAUGCCAGUGAGCAAGGUCAUACCAUAGUUGUGUGUGUAUUAGUGUGCAUGCGUUUGGGUGUGUCAGUGUGUGUGUGUGUGUGUGUGUGUGUGUGUGUGUGUGUACCUCAGGGAGCGUAUCUCAGAGUGCAGCAGGGUAAUUAGCCAGGGGCAGAUCUGCGUCCACCAGCAGGCUGUGAGGACCUAUGGCCUCGCCGACACGAUCGGCCUAUUGAGGGCCGAGCCGGCUUUAAUUAGGAGGUCAUUAACAGCCAACCACCUCUCUCCAUGUGACCACACAAUGCCCACCCGCUCACGCCCACCUGCCACAAGAUCCAGACUUAGACACACACACCCACACACACACACACACACACACACACACACACACACACACACACACACACACACACACACACACACACCUCCUCUCAAAGUGGUUGGAGCUGGACCUACCCACAGACACCCAUACAAACCUGUCCUCAGUUCAACUUUCAUCACUGGGGACUAGAAACUCAUAGAUAAAACUUAACAAAGCUUGAUAGGAGUACAUCAUGAUAAACAAUAUAUUUUAUGCAUACCUGAGAUAUAUGGAGAAGGGAUAGAGGGGGAUAGGGUGGACUAAAGAGUAAAGGACUGUUGCAUUUCCAACUGUCACUUCAAGAAACAGCCGACCAUGAGAAGAAAAUGUCCCAAUCUAUUACCGAGCCAACGUGACAGGGGGAAGGGGUAACCGAACAAUUUGGAAGGAAAAAGGAAGAAAGAGGGCAAGAAGGAAGGAAAGGAAGAAAGAGUGUGUUGCCAGAAAGAGUCUAAAGUGGGUCUAAAGUGAGAUAGAGUGAGUUUAAAGGUGGGGAAUAGGGACGUGACAACAGAGAGAGCGCCCGGGGAAGAGAAAGAGGGAUUCCUCGGCCCUUUUGAUUCCGCGCCCUGAUUUCACACUCGCCACAAAGACCUUUGGGGACGUUUCAUCCUUUUCACGUUUCCUCGCCAUUUAUGCACCGCUUAUUCUGUGAGCC